GGUAGGGUGGCCGAGUGUUCAGGCGGCGGUUUGUAGCUCCGUAAACAGAGGUUUAAAUCCUCUCCCUGCCA
rnacentral:tRNA from 1 species